GCUGUAUGUCUGUGGGUGCUGUGUAUGUGUUUGGGUGCUGCGUUUGUGGGUGCUGUAUGUCUGUGGGUGCUGUGUGUAUGUGUGUGGGUGCUGUGUUUGUGGGUGCUGUAUGUCUGUGGGUGCUGUAUGUGUGUUGGUGCUGUAUGUCUGUGGGUGCUGUGUAUGUGUGUGGGUGCUGUAUGUGUGUGGGUGCUGUAUGUCUGUGGGUGCUGUAUGUCUGUGGGUGCUGUAUGUGUGUGGGUGCUGUAUGUCUGUGGGUGCUGUGUAUGUGUGUGGGUGCUGUAU